GGCGAACGCUGGCGGCGUGCUUAACACAUGCAAGUCGAACGGAAAGGCCUGCUUUCCCUUGUGGAUUGCGGGUACUCGAGUGGCGAACGGGUGAGUAACACGUGAGUGAUCUGCCCCCAACUUGGGUAUAAGCCUGGGAAACUGGGUCUAAUUCCCGAUAGGACUGCAGGGUGGUGCCUGUGGUGGAAAACGAUUUUCUAGUGGUUGGGGAUGAGCUCGCGGCCUAUCAGCUUGUUGGUGGGGUAAUGGCCUACCAAGGCGGCGACGGGUAGCCGGCCUGGGAGGGUGGACGGCCACAUUGGGACUGAGAUACGGCCCAGACUCCUACGGGAGGCAGCAGUGGGGAGUAUUGCACAAUGGGCGGAAGCCUGAUGCAGCGACGCCGCGUGGGGGAUGACGGCCUUCGGGUUGUAAACUCCUUUCGACCGCGAGGAAGCCACCUGGUUGGAAGGGUGGUGACGGUAGUGGUAGAAGAAGCACCGGCUAACUACGUG
rnacentral:rRNA from 1 species